UAAUAGCUCACUGGUCGAGUCGGCCUGCGCGGAAGAUGUAACGGGGCUAAACCAUGCACCGAAGCUGCGGCAGCGACGCUUAUGCGUUGUUGGGUAGGGGAGCGUUCUGUAAGCCUGUGAAGGUGUACUGUGAGGUAUGCUGGAGGUAUCAGAAGUGCGAAUGCUGACAUAAGUAACGAUAAAGCGGGUGAAAAGCCCGCUCGCCGGAAGAC
rnacentral:rRNA from 1 species